ACGGCUCAGUAACACGUGGACAACCUACCCUCCGGACGGGUAUAAACCCGGGAAACUGGGUAUAAUACCCGAUAGUUCUCGGCUGCUGGAAUGCACCGAGUACUAAAGCUCCGGCGCCUAAGGAUGGGUCUGCGGCCUAUCAGGUAGUAGUGGGUGUAGUGUACCUGCUAGCCUACGACGGGUACGGGUUGUGAGAGCAAGAGCCCGGAGAUGGAUUCUGAGACACGAAUCCAGGCCCUACGGGGUGCAGCAGGCGCGAAAACUUUGCAAUGCUGGCAACAGCGAUAAGGGAACCUCGAGUGCCAGGUUACAAAUCUGGCUGUCGAGAUGCCUAAAAAGCAUUUCAUAGCAAGGGCCGGGCAAGACCGGUGCCAGCCGCCGCGGUAACACCGGCGGCUCGAGUGGUAACCGUUAUUAUUGGGUCUAAAGGGUCUGUAGCCGGCCGGAUAAGUCUCUUGAGAAAUCUGGCAGCUUAACUGUCAGGCUUUCAGGAGAUACUGUCUGGCUCGAGGCCGGGAGAGGUGAGAGGUACUUCAGGGGUAGGGGUGAAAUCUUGUAAUCCUUGAAGGACCACCAGUGGCGAAGGCGUCUCACCAGAACGGACCUGACGGCAAGGGACGAAAGCUAGGGGCACGAACCGGAUUAGAUACCCGGGUAGUCCUAGCCGUAAACGAUACUCGCUAGGUGUCGGCCACGGUGCGACCGUUGUCGGUGCCGUAGGGAAGCCGUGAAGCGAGCCACCUGGGAAGUACGGCCGCAAGGCUGAAACUUAAAGGAAUUGGCGGGGGAGCACCACAACGGGUGGAGCUUGCGGUUUAAUUGGAUUCAACGCCGGA
rnacentral:rRNA from 1 species